CACCCAUAUAGUGAAGAAAUUCUUCCUCAUGUCCAGUCUAAAUCUGCCCCUCUCCAGUUUAUACCCAUUCCCCCUCGUCUUAUCACCAUAAGCCUUUAUGAACAGCCCCUCUCCAGCUUUCUUGUAGCCUUGUCUGCAAAGGAUACUGCUGGAGGGGAAAGUGCCAGAUGGUGGUUUGACCCCCAGUUCUCCUCUCCCACUGCCCCUUUUCUUCUUAAAAAAAUAUGAAAAAAUUAAAUCCCAUCAGUGGCUUUUAAAAGCCAACUGAAAAUGUCCUUUAUUAAAUUACCACCCUAUUGAUCUAGCAGUCAUCCGAAAGGGGAUUGAUUGAGGACUUAAACAGACGCGUAGCCAGGCCAGACGUUCAAUUAAUGUGCAUAAGCGGGCAGUGGAGAAGCAAUUUUCGGACAUGUCACUGAGAGGCAGCACUCAAAGCCCGGCUCACUCCACUCACAUACUCCGCUCCUUCAGGCCUCGGAGAGGACACGUUUGCAGAAGGGUUGAGGAAUGCUGUGUUUUCUGGACGGACUCACACCUGAGGCUGCGUUGAGCAUCAUAAAGGACAGGUUCUCCAUUCAACUCUUACAGAGAAGGCAGUAUGCAGCAGAAGACCCAUCGCCACCUUUGAGGAUCGAUGUGUCUGAUGAGCCUUGAGUUACUCUUCCAUGUCUCGGGAAGGUUUUUCUGGGGAAAAACAAUCCUGUUAAUUGAUUGUUUCCUCCUACUUCUUCAGCAUCUGAUAAUUCGAGCUGGCUGCCAGAAGCAAAGCAACCGUGAUGGAGCCACAAAUUCAGCUCAACUCUGGCCUUUCCUCUGAAUGCUUCAAAGAGAUCCUGUGGACACAGCUGAUACAUGGCCAGAGGAAAGAAUUUGAAGGCUAUGUGUCCAGUUGCUCUGUGAGUAAACAGCAAGAAAUACUCUGUGUGGGUUUUUUUUCCUUCAGGCUUAACAAGAAUCCUGAUAAGAAAUUCUGGUCUCCACUGGUGUGAGGACUUUGCUUCUGGUUUCCUUUAAGCCAUAAGUAGGUGGCAUCGCCCCAUGACCAUAAAGAGGAUCACCUGUGGUUUGAAGCGGUCUAAGGAGAGCACAGAGCCAUGAGGAAGGCUGAGAUAAGGUGUUUUGUGGCUCCAGGCAGAUCUUGGACCAUGAACCCAGUGAGCUGGAGGUGCUGAGGUUUCCCUGCGCCUGAUGCACCAUCAGUGCAGACCUGCUGGAUCCUUCCCUGGGAAGCCGACGGGAAUUCACAGCAGUGAUGCUGGGGAGCCUGGUUGUGCUGCUGGAUACACCAGGGCAGAACUGGAGCCCAGUUCCCUGCUCUGGUUUCUGCUCACUCAGCUUUUGCUAAGUGGCAAAAACUCCUGCACCUCUGUCAAGCAGAAGAAUGGGAAUUUGCUGGGGCGAAAGACUCUUAAUCUACUGUGCCUUGGGAAUAUGGGCUCAAAAACAACUCUGUGAGCUCUUCCACCUUCCUUUCACUCUUGUCUUUGUCCUCUGCUCCUCCUGGUUCGGUGGAUGUGGAGAUACCGUGAUCUCUGUGGUUUGGGCACAUGGAAAAGGAUGUUUUCCCCUCACCAAGCUGAAGCUGAGUAGUCUUUUCCUGUCCUAUGAGACUCAAGCGUCACCUUGGGCUGCUCUUUGACUUUGUACAUCUCCUAUGGGAAGAGGAGGACCAUGUCCUGACCUGGCAUCACCGUAGGUACAGAGUCCUCGCAUGGCCAGCGGGAAGCUCAGCUUUCGAGGUCUGGGGAGCAAGACCCAAGCGAGAGGAGCAUUGCCACCCAGGACACCAGCACAGAUGAGGAGCAAGGGCUCGAUGGGAGCAACAAGGCAGAAAACCCCUCCAGCAGACCAAGGUGUGGUAGGAUGCCCCAUCCAUCCCCAUCUCUCCUGGCCGUGUCCCUUCUCGCUGCUCUGUAGUAG